rnacentral:lncRNA from 1 species
AAGCCUAUUAAUCUUACAUGUUCAUCAUUCCAUUAUAAAUUACUAAGUCAUCUAUCAUAACUUAGAAUCAAAAUAAUAUUAAGCAUUGCCACUUCAUACUGGCAUACCAAACAAGUGUAUAUACACUGUCUACGCAUGUAUCUUAAUAAUUCACAUUAGGUUUGUUUAUACACAACAAAAGGAGACUCGAUGUCCAGCGGAGAGACUCGGACGAAUGUACAGCUACUGAAUGCCAAGACACCUACCAAAAGAUGGAUACAAGCCCACGAGGACACCUCGUCCUAGUUACCGACUGUCUCUUAAUCUGAAAACAUGAAGUUGAAAAUGGUGAGCAUAAACUCAGUGAGUGAACAAGAAGGGAACAAGCAUACCAUAAGGAAUGUUUAUCGAAAUCAUGAUGCACUCAUUUUCUCAAAACAAUGCAAUUUGUUCUAGUUCUUAGUAUAACCCCUCAUGUAAACCCCUCAUGAGUAAAUCACUUAAAAGAUCCAUAUUCAACUAUGGUACCAAAGAAUCGAAAAAUAUAGCAAAACCCACAAGUUAGCCAAAAUGGAUAGAAAGUUUCUCGUUGCAGCGAACUUCAUUCUCGUUGCAGCGAGAACCAGGUCUGGUGAAGGCCCUCAAACCUGAGAGUUUCUCGUUGCAGCGAGAGUCAUAACAUAAAGGAAAAAGGCUCAUUUUCCUUUAAAACAAGCCAUCUUGCUAAAAUAACAAUAGCAACAUGUAACACAUGUAAACUCCCAAAUUUCAACAAAUCAAAUGCUCACAUAUUUGCAUUUACAACCAUAUACCAUAUAUGUAUAUAUAUAUAUAUACAUCAAUCAUCAUGUACACCCUCCCAACAUCAUCAUCUCAUAUGCAACGGCCUAUGCGUACUCCCACUCGCACAUAGUCGGGUCAGCAAUGACUUAUGUGCACUCCCAUUCGCACAUAGCUGGGUCAGCAAAGGCUUAUGUGCACUCCUACUCACACAUAGCAGGGUCCACAUCAACAUGCUAAGAAGCAUCCAAUGCAUAUCAUGCAUUUUAUUAUAUUGUGAUAACACAUAAACCAUUGUAUAGCACAUUUUCAUAAUAUCAAAUCAUUUUACUAAAAGCUUGUUCCCAAGGUACAUUUUCUAAGACAAGUUGGAUAGAAUCUUUCAUAUUUCCCAAAACAAGUUUGAAAUGCAAGUCCACUCACCCGUAUUCGUUGAGCCUUUAGCCGACUGUUAAUCCCCCUAAUGAUCCAAUUGGGGUGAUGGGGCUUCGUUAGCACCUACCAUCAAAUUAACAUUUCCAUAAUGUCAAUUUACAUACUAUAAACCCUAAAAGCUAUCUUUUAGCUAACUUUCAAUUGCCAUUUAAAUGGCCAUCCAUUUUCACUUUCCUAUCACUCCAAAGUGAAUUAACAAUCUCAACUACAAAAUAUCACAAAUCAAAUCUCGUUUCAUUCUCAACACUUAAAACCCAAUACUAGCUUACCACUCACCUUGAUAGCUUUGUAACUUUGAACUUCUUUCCAAAAGCUCUCAAGCUAUUAAUAAAGCUUCCUCUUUCUCUCCCUAAAGCACCUAACUAGUGAGAGAUUAUGGAAACAAGAUUUUCAUUAUUUUUGAGGUUUUUAAAGUGAGAGAGUGGAAGAAUACAAGGGUUCUAGUAAAAAGGGCACCAAGGUAUGAAAAUUAGAACUAGAGAGAGAAAGUUAUGAAAGCUUCACAUCAAGCUUCCAUGGAAGAAUUGAAGAAACGUGAGAGGGAAGAGAACAAGAAGAAGAAGUUGCUAGAAGGAGAGGAUAUUUAUGGCCCAAGCGUAUCCACUCCCUUGGAAAUUACUAAAAUACCCAUCCACAAAUUAGCUUAAUCCUUGAAAUCCCACACUUUUUCUUCAAUUUUCCCACCUAGGGUUUGUGUUCUUUCCUUUCC